UACGUAGGUGGCAAGCGUUGUCUGGAUUUACUGGGCGUAAAGAGCGCGCAGGCGGUCGUUCAAGUCGCGUGUGAAAGCCCCCGGCUCAACUGGGGAGGGUCACGCGAUACUGAUCGACUCGAAGGCAGGAGAGGGUAGUGGAAUUCCCGGUGUAGUGGUGAAAUGCGUAGAUAUCGGGAGGAACACCAGUGGCGAAGGCGACUACCUGGCCUGUUCUUGACGCUGAGGCGCGAAAGCUAGGGGAGCAAACGGG
rnacentral:rRNA from 1 species